AAAUCUCGACAAUGGAUAUCUUGACUCUCGUAUCGAUGAAAAACGUAGCGAAAUGUGAUACUUGGUGUGAAUUGCACAAUCCUGUGAACCAUUGAUUCUUUGAAAGCAAGUUAUGCCUGAAGCCAUUAGGUUGAUGGCACGUCUGCUUGGGCAUCU